rnacentral:rRNA from 1 species
CCCUUAGAUGUUCCGGGCCGCACGCGCGCUACACUGAUGCAUUCAACGAGCCUAUCCUUGACCGACAGGUCCGGGUAAUCUUUGAAUCUGCAUCGUGACGGGGAUAGAUUAUUGCAAUUAUUAAUCUUCAACGAGGAAUGCCUAGUAGGCGCAAGUCAUCAGCUUGCGUCGAUUACGUCCCUGCCCUUUGUACACACCGCCCGUCGCUCCUACCGAUUGGGUGUGCUGGUGAAAUGUUCGGAUCGGCCGUUUGUCGCGGUUUCCGCGGCUCGUGGCUGAGAAGUUCAUUAAACCCUCCCACCUAGAGGAAGGAGAAGUCGUAACA